UAAGGAAUAUUGGUCAAUGGAGGCAACUCUGAACCAGCCAUGCCGCGUGCAGGAGGACGGCCCUAUGGGUUGUAAACUGCUUUUACAGGGGAACAAACCCCGGUACGUGUACCGGGCUGAGUGUACCUUGAGAAUAAGGAUCGGCUAACUCCGUGCCAGCAGCCGCGGUAAUACGGAGGAUCCGAGCGUUAUCCGGAUUUAUUGGGUUUAAAGGGUGCGUAGGCGGGAUGCUAAGUCAGUGGUGAAAGACGGUGGCUCAACCAUCGCAGUGCCGUUGAUACUGGUGUUCUUGAAUGCGGAUGAGGUAGGCGGAAUGUGGCAAGUAGCGGUGAAAUGCAUAGAGAUGCCACAGAACACCGAUUGCGAAGGCAGCUUACUAAGCUUUGAUUGACGCUGAGGCACGAAAGCGUGGGGAUCAAACAGGAUUAGAUACCC
rnacentral:rRNA from 1 species